GGAAAAUUGGGGGGCGGGCUAACACAUGCAAGUCGAGCGGAACGAGUUAACUGAACCUUCGGGGAACGUUAACGGCGUCGAGCGGCGGACGGGUGAGUAAUGCCUGGGAAAUUGCCCUGAUGUGGGGGAUAACCAUUGGAAACGAUGGCUAAUACCGCAUAAUAGCUUCGGCUCAAAGAGGGGGACCUUCGGGCCUCUCGCGUCAGGAUAUGCCCAGGUGGGAUUAGCUAGUUGGUGAGGUAAUGGCUCACCAAGGCGACGAUCCCUAGCUGGUCUGAGAGGAUGAUCAGCCACACUGGAACUGAGACACGGUCCAGACUCCUACGGGAGGCAGCAGUGGGGAAUAUUGCACAAUGGGCGCAAGCCUGAUGCAGCCAUGCCGCGUGUAUGAAGAAGGCCUUCGGGUUGUAAAGUACUUUCAGCAGUGAGGAAGGUGGGUAUGUUAAUAGCAUACACAUUUGACGUUAGCUGCAGAAGAAGCACCGGCUAACUCCGUGCCAGCAGCCGCGGUAAUACGGAGGGUGCGAGCGUUAAUCGGAAUUACUGGGCGUAAAGCGCAUGCAGGUGGUUUGUUAAGUCAGAUGUGAAAGCCCGGGGCUCAACCUCGGAAUUGCAUUUGAAACUGGCAAACUAGAGUACUGUAGAGGGGGGUAGAAUUUCAGGUGUAGCGGUGAAAUGCGUAGAGAUCUGAAGGAAUACCGGUGGCGAAGGCGGCCCCCUGGACAGAUACUGACACUCAGAUGCGAAAGCGUGGGGAGCAAACAGGAUUAGAUACCCUGGUAGUCCACGCCGUAAACGAUGUCUACUUGGAGGUUGUGGCCUUGAGCCGUGGCUUUCGGAGCUAACGCGUUAAGUAGACCGCCUGGGGAGUACGGUCGCAAGAUUAAAACUCAAAUGAAUUGACGGGGGCCCGCACAAGCGGUGGAGCAUGUGGUUUAAUUCGAUGCAACGCGAAGAACCUUACCUACUCUUGACAUCUACAGAAGCCAGCGGAGACGCAGGUGUGCCUUCGGGAACUGAAAGACAGGGGCUGCAAGGCUG
rnacentral:rRNA from 1 species